CAGAGUCGAAUCCUUGAUCAAGUUGAGAUUGAGUGAUUUUUUUUCUCUCCUUGUGUUGGGGUUUUGUCUAGGAAAUGCCAAAGGGGGGGAUUGUAAAUGUGAAUUUACUUAGGAAUUGGUUUAAUUUCCUAGACUUGUAAUUGUGUCCUUGUUGUGUAGAUUAGGCCUAGUUUUUAGGCAAAUUAACUUGGGCCACAAGACUUAUCCAGAUUGAGCAGAUCAAGGGUUGACUAUGUCUACAAGAGAUUUAUAUAGAGAGAAGCAAAGGUGAGUUCAUGAAAAAUUAGAAUGAUAAAGCAACUUGUGAAGCUUUUUAAUUCUAGUUUGCAUCUUCAUAUUUCAUAUUUCAUAUUGGAAGCUGUGUGCAAUGGAAGCUGUGUGUGGGCAUGCUUGUUCGUGAGGAUCAUCAAUUCGAGAGAGUUCAAGCAAGGACUGAGUAAGGCAAGACAAAAGUAUUGGAUAGAUUCUUGUUUAGAGUUUAUCUUCUUGAGUCUUGUAAUAGUCCAUUCUUAGUGGAUUUCUAGAGUUUUUCUUGGUUGGGUUUUUUCAUCGUACCAUUGGGUACAAAAAUCCUUGUGUUAAUUUACUUCUGCUGCAAGAUUUUAUUAGUUAGAUUUGGGAUUGA